AUGACAUGAGAAUUUUAUACAAAUACCUUACCACCUCCCUUUUUCCAAGGCACAUCGAACCUGAGAUUUCUUACCGGACCCUUGAACCUCAAUGAUCCAGAUGCAAAAUGCAGAUUCCCCAAAAUUUUUGUAAAUACAGAUGACACUUAUGAAGAGCUCCAUUUAAUUGUUUAUAAGGUAACAACUUUUUUCCUUCCAGCGUUAAUGAUUAUGCUGAAGUGGAUCUUUCUUGCAUGUGUACACGAGUGCAUGUGCAAACCUCUUAAAUGUUUCUUGGAAAAGAUAUUGGAAGUUCUGAUUAUGGUAAAACUCAAAAUGGGUGUUCUUCCAGCGUAAUAAGUUUAUUUUCAGUUCCUUUUAAACAGUUUUGUUAUUAGUGAAAGAGGAACUGUUUAAGAUUGUGAUUUAUAAACGUGUGAAGUCUCACGUGCUCUCAAACCAAAGGCUGUCAGAGGUUGGUGCUGCCUGUUCUCGAAAUGGCUCUGGAUGGGGGCCGUAGCCAUGUGUCUGUGCAUAUGCUGCUUUUGCUCUGAUUUUAAAGCUGUGGGCUUGCUAAUUCCGUAAGGAUCGUAUUUUGUUUCUGUCAGG
rnacentral:sRNA from 1 species